GGUUACUUUCCUUUUCCCAUUAGGAUCAUCUCCUCCUUGAAUUCCUCUUCUAGCAUAUUUCACCUUUGGUGCCACACAUUGGUCUCAGGACCCACUUUGGAUACCCUUUCGGUGACAUCUCAUUGAGCAGUUCUCAACCCAUGCCGCUUAAAUUUCUAUGUUGUCUGCCCCACAGAUUGCUAUAACUCCUGGUUUGGAGUUCCCUUAUCAACCAUAGAUCCAACCUUGCCCCACCCAAGCUCUUCACCAAGAAGACAGAUUAAACACAAAGCUGAGCUCCUGUAAACUCAGCUUGUGGUAGGCAUGUGAGCAGAACUGGAGCAAGUUCACAUGGCCGUGGGAGAUCUGCAUGGUAGGCUUCUACCUGACAUAGCCUGAGCUUCAGGAAGUCGUGCCUGCUGAGCAUCCUCGAGGGGCCGUGGUUACGCCCACACUAUUGCAUUCCCUGAAAGGCAAACUUCUGUCCUACUUUUUCUGUGACUCACUCGGUGCCUGUUCCCUCUUGGAAUUAACCCAAGGAAAAGAGUCCUCUCAGCAAAACAAAGUUAGCUUGCUUCCUUGUGUGUGGCCUGCUUAUUUUAUUUUUUAGAGCUAUACUUCAGAAGUGCAGAGCAGCCUGAGGGCCCUUUUUCUCCAUUUUAUUUUGUGUGUCUUCUUAAAAAUUGUAUCUUGGCUAGAACUACUCUUUCUUCCUUGGUGGUUUUAUAACUCACAAGGUGAAUGGUGAUACCCUGAAAGAUCAACAGGAAUACCCUCAGGGUGGGAAUAUAAAUCUAGUCCCUCUUACUCUAUCCUGCCCAGAAGUGGAAAUAUGAUCCUUCCAUUAUAAAAUAAAGAAUGGUCCUAAGAUUUGAGAACUCCAAAAGGACUUAGUGUUACGGAAUAAAGGUGAACAACCAUUUGGGACUGUUUAUCUACUUGCUAUCUCUCUUUUGAGAGAGAAUAAUGUCUCAAGAGCUCCAUUCUCUGAUGCCUGCAGUAUGUUAUGAAUCAGUAGAGAAUCUUUCUGUCUGUGCUUGGAUCUUGGAAUUGUAUCCCUAAUAAAGUGCAAGCAAAUAGCUCCAGAAGCCUCAGCUCUGCUUUCUGCUGAACCCAAGUUAUAAAUGAUGUGAACUUGGAAAAGCUCUAAGGCAGCCCAGGAAAAGGCAGACAAGAAACCAUCAUGAAUGGGUGCUGCAUGAGCAGAGAUUGUCAAGAAAAUGGGAUGGUAAUUUGCAUAGGUCCACAAAGCGAACAUUGAUUUGAAGUGUUCCUGUGAAUGGCCAGUAGACAGGAUAUAGAAACAGACAGGAAAUCAUAAAGUGGAGAAUGGUGUAUAAGAUGGAGUUUCAGCCUGGGGAAGUACAUAAAAUAAUGCCAUGUCAAGGUCAUAAGAACUUCGACAGUCAGGGAGAUGACAAAUAGAAAACUGAUUCAUAAAUCCUGAAAUAAAAUAUUACUACCUAAACUCUAAAUCAGAUGGCCACCAGGUCAAAAAUAAAUUACAAGGUGAAUCUAAUGUAGCUAUGUAAUUAAAAAUUGGCCAUGUUGAUGAGGCAAGAAAUUUUGGCAAUAACAGUAAUGAAGGUGUCAGGGCUCAGAAAAUGACAUGCCAAAUUAUGGCACUUUAGUGUGCUGAGUACUUUGAACUAAAGGAGAUUGGAAUGCCUCAGAAGCAAAGCCACUCUAUCCCCCACCUUUCUGUGUAGGUGUAUAGCAGAUGCAUCUGACAGCAAUAACUUAAGCAUACCCUGAGAAAGACCCUCAAGUCUAAGAAGAAUGUGUGUUUGGAGUUCUGAGCUAAGAAAUCCAGGAGUGGCAAACCUAGAGAUUCGCUCCUUGUCUAUGAAGGACAUAUGACCCCCUGGCCCAUGCCUUGGAAUGCAGGCCAUAUAGGGGAUUAAGGUCCUUUGUUUUGGGUUAUAUGGAGGUUGUUAGGUGGAGGGUGGUAGCAGGUUUUCAGUCCAGCCCACCACCACUGUACUGCCCCAUAUGUAAGUCCUCAGUAAACCCUAUGUGUCAUCUGCUGGUUCCGGGUCUCCUCUCUUCUUCCGCUUCUAGGACAUGGUGCUAUCCCUAUUGGAGUCAGUAGGUCUGGCACAACAGUAGGAGCUGGCCAUAAAGAAAUUCUCUGACCUACCUUGUCUGAUAGCAGGUCAUAAGAUCCUUAUUCCAGAGGGGUCCUGCCCCAUACCUGGGAGAAAGGAAUGCUACACAGAGGUCAAGGAGAAGCCAAACAAGCAGGACUUAAUGGGUUUCCCACUCCGUCUAUUGCCAUUAGAUCAUACAUUUUUUGUGUGGAAUCAUAUUUCUACAUGGUUGUCCAUUCUUCAUGAAAACUAAGAAUAAAAGUAGACAAUUUUCC
rnacentral:lncRNA from 1 species